rnacentral:rRNA from 1 species
GACGAACGCUGGCGGCGUGCCUAGUACAUGCAAGUUGAGCGCUGAAGGUUGGUACUUGUACCAACUGGAUGAGCAGCGAACGGGUGAGUAACGCGUGGGGAAUCUGCCUUUGAGCGGGGGGCAACAUUUGGAAACGAAUGCUAAUACCGCAUAAAAACUUUAAACACAAGUUUUAAGUUUGAAAGAUGCAAUUGCAUCACUCAAAGAUGAUCCCGCGUUGUAUUAGCUAGUUGGUGAGGUAAAGGCUCACCAAGGCGAUGAUACAUAGCCGACCUGAGAGGGUGAUCGGCCACAUUGGGACUGAGACACGGCCCAAACUCCUACGGGAGGCAGCAGUAGGGAAUCUUCGGCAAUGGACGAAAGUCUGACCGAGCAACGCCGCGUGAGUGAAGAAGGUUUUCGGAUCGUAAAACUCUGUUGGUAGAGAAGAACGUUGGUGAGAGUGGAAAGCUCAUCAAGUGACGGUAACUACCCAGAAAGGGACGGCUAACUACGUG